AUUGAACGCUGGCGGCAUGCUUUACACAUGCAAGUCGAACGGCAGCACGGGUGCUUGCACCUGGUGGCGAGUGGCGAACGGGUGAGUAAUGUAUCGGAACGUACCCGGCAAUGGGGGAUAACGUAGCGAAAGUUACGCUAAUACCGCAUAUGCCCUGAGGGGGAAAGUGGGGGAUCGCAAGACCUCACGUUGUCGGAGCGGCCGAUAUCAGAUUAGCUAGUUGGUGGGGUAAAGGCCUACCAAGGCGACGAUCUGUAGCUGGUCUGAGAGGACGACCAGCCACACUGGGACUGAGACACGGCCCAGACUCCUACGGGAGGCAGCAGUGGGGAAUUUUGGACAAUGGGGGCAACCCUGAUCCAGCCAUGCCGCGUGAGUGAAGAAGGCCUUCGGGUUGUAAAGCUCUUUCGGACUGAAAGAAAUCGCCACUUCUAAUAAAGGUGGUUGAUGACGGUACUGUAAGAAGAAGCACCAGCUAACUACGUGCCAGCAGCCGCGGUAA
rnacentral:rRNA from 1 species